rnacentral:misc_RNA from 1 species
UCCAUACUUAAUCCAUCAACAGUAGAGCCAACAAAUUCCAUGGAUUUGUAUGUCGCACCAGAAACAGUAAUUUCACCGAUUAUUUGCAAAAUCAAAUCCUUAGCAAGCAGGUAACUGGGCAAUUCUCCAUCCAAAAUGAACCUCAAGGUAGGGGGUACCUUGAGUAGAAGCUUUCCAGUCCCGAGGACAAAUCCUGCAUCAGUAUUACCAAUUCCAGUAGCAAAUUGACCAAAAGCUCCAGCAGUACAUGUGUGG